GAAAAAUAAUAAAAGGAUUUCUUCUACUCUCAAGGAACAAUUCUUAUUUCUAAUAUUCAGGAAUAUUAUUUAUUAUUUUAUUAUCCGAAAGUUCAACUAUUGGAAAAUUUUUGUCACUGUAUUAAUUCGAAUAUGAGAAGUUCUAUAAUACAGUGUAAUUUUAUGUUAAGGUUGCCUAUAUGCGACCUUACGUUGCGUAUGCAUUUGGCCGAACGUGAAAUACAGAAUGUAAGUAUUUUCAACGAAGAAAAACAUAAUUUGAAUAUCAUGAGGUCAAUGUAUCAGCUCAUUUAACACAAUUCAAUCGACUUACGUUAACAAUCGCUUCUAUUCCACUCACUUUAAUGUUUCUCGCUUCAAUAUCCGCGAACAGCGAACAAAGCGAAAAUAGUAAACACAGUACAUUUUAUCUACAACACUUCAACUUUACUUCUUCACUUUAUCGCAACGUGAAAUUGUACAAAACAAUUCCACUCAGUGUAAUGAAUCGAGGAUCAAUUUAUCGAAAAAAUGGAAUAAUAUUCAUGAUAAAUUGUAUUAUAUCUUCCAAAUAAUUCCAAAUAUCAUGUUUCGCUUUGAAGGAAAACAUAUUUUGCUACGAAAAGAAAUGACGGAUAUAAUUCAAACAUACGAUACAAAAAAAGAUACAAGAAGAAAAAUAUACACAGUAUUUUCUAACACGGAGAGUACCGAACGAGAAAACGUUCCAGCGUAUGAUAGAAUGUUUACAGCCAUGACGUUAAUAAACUGCAUCAUUGGCAAUAUGUAUAAGAAUUAACAUAUAAAUAUUUUUCCCAAAGUUUGAUCUUUUCAAUCUUGAUGCAACGGAUGUGCAACCAAUUCCAUUCUCACGAAUCGCAUUUUAUUCACCGAUGAAGCGAUAUUCACGCGAUCUGGAAUUUUCACGCGCGCAGCAAACACACGUGAAUGGAGGAAAAUCCACAUUGCGUAGUGCAAAAUAAAUAUCAAAGGGAAUUUAGUAUGAACGUAUGGUUGGAAGUAUUGGACAAUAAGUUGAUAGGCUCGUUCUUUUUACCGGUCUUCUUUUGUCUUACGAGAGAGAUUUACUUGGAAUUUUUGAAAACUGUCUACUAUAAUUGUUGAAAGAUGUGAAUUUAUACGUGAGAAGAGACAUGUGGUUUAUGCACGACGAAUCAUCGAUCCAUUUCGGCUUUGAUGCCACGCAAUAUUUGAACGAAAAAUAUCCCGAUAGGUCGGUCUCCUGAUUUGAAUUCAUUGGAUCAGUGUGGGAUUACUUGAAAACUUUGGUGUACAAAACGUCGGUGUACGACGAGAAUAUUCUGCAGAUGCGAAUUAUAGACAAGUGUAAGAAAAUUGGAGCAAAGAUUAAACUAUUCAAAUAAAUUCAACAGUCGUUCCGUAAAAGGCUGAGAUUGUAUCGAGGAGAGAAGUAAGAAUCUUACUUGGACGCUUUGGUGCUAUUUUAAGGACAAAUGUUCGUAUUUCCAUUGGUUUCAAAAUUAUAUUUAUGACACCGUCUUUAAUUUCUACGGGCUGAUAUUCUUCUUCCAAUUGAAGAAUAUCAUUCGUCUCAGCAUUCCAUUUCAAACGAUUCAUAUCCUUGAACCAUUGAUUACCACCUAAUGUAGUCUCCUUAACGGAUACGAUCGUAAAAGUUGUAAACAAAUCCUAUUGUAACAAAAUCAUAAAUUAAAUAUUAAUAUAUUUUUAUGUACAGCAUUGGAUAUUUUGUAAAAGAUAAUUCGAAACAUACUUGUAUAUUAACUGUUACAGGUUUCGAUAAAUUCUCAGUUUCAUCUAUUUCGAAAAUAUGUUCUAAUCUUAGUAGAAGAGAAUCUUCUUUCCACGGUUCCAAAGUUAAAAUGUGAACAUUUGGUGGCAACGCUUUGGCAAGACCUAUAUUCUAGAAGCAAUAAAAAUUCUAACUUGUUUCUAUUUCUCUGACGAUUUUUAAUACGUUUAUGAUUUAUACUUCUGUACUUAAAUAUCAUUUACUUGGUAAAUACCACUUACUUGCAAGGCAGCAUAUUGUGCAUACGUUGAAAAAUUACUUUCAUUAGAUAUAAUAAAAGGCCAUGGACGAAGCAACA